rnacentral:rRNA from 1 species
AGAGCGAACGCUGGCGGCAGGCCUAAUACAUGCAAGUCGAACGGAUCCUUCGGGAUUAGUGGCGGACGGGUGAGUAACACGUGGGAACGUGCCCUUUGGUUCGGAACAACUCAGGGAAACUUGAGCUAAUACCGGAUGUGCCCUUCGGGGGAAAGAUUUAUCGCCAUUGGAGCGGCCCGCGUCUGAUUAGCUAGUUGGUGAGGUAAAGGCUCACCAAGGCUUCGAUCAGUAGCUGGUCUGAGAGGAUGAUCAGCCACACUGGGACUGAGACACGGCCCAGACUCCUACGGGAGGCAGCAGUAGGGAAUCUUGCGCAAUGGGCGAAAGCCUGACGCAGCCAUGCCGCGUGAAUGAUGAAGGUCUUAGGAUUGUAAAAUUCUUUCAGCGGGGACGAUAAUGACGGUACCCGCAGAAGAAGCCCCGGCUAACUCGUGCCAGCAGCCGC